GGCUAACACCGAAGGCAACUCUGGUGGUAAGUAGCUAUCCCACUGACUAAUCCUUAAUGUGAUUCCUAGUAAAUUAUGUACCACGCCAUUUCUGGAAAUAAACCCAUUUCCUACCUCUCCUUGGGGUAAUUAAGGGAGUUUAUGUUUCUGGUUAAUCAAGCCGUUCCUUGCUAGCAUGUUUAAUUAGCUUACUUGAUGGCAAGGCAUCCGUAGUUCUAGGGAAGAAUUCUAGCUGUUGCUAUGUAGCUAAUGAAACAUGCUAGUAAGUUGCGCCGCCGAUUCAGGGAGCCAGAGAAAGGUGACGCUCAUUUAUUUAAAUCAAAGGGAGGUGGGAAAUUAGUUUAUUUCCCGAAAUUGUACAGUAUUGCUUUUUCAUCAAACGAAUGCCUUCUUCGUUAGAUUUAGAACAAGAUGAUGACCGGGACGAGACGGGUAGUCUGGCUGACUCAGAGGCUAGCAGCACUUGCUCCCGUUUACCUCUGGCUUCUAUUUUCGUCGAGGCAGGCAGAAAUAAAAUGUCCCAGGCAAAGGUAGAAGAAUGUCACCGGGCAGUUACCAAAUUUGUUGUUAAGGGUUUGCACCCAUUUUCUACAGUAGACGCCCCUGAAUUUCGGUAGGUGAAUGUGAGGUUGUUGUCAGAUUAUCAAAUGUCAGAUUAGAAUAGAAUAGAAUAGAAUAUUUUCCUCCUCAUUAAACAGAUGUUUACACUCAUUCAUUUUCAUAUGUUUUCUAGGGAGAUGACAAAGGUUCUCAAUCCAAAAUACAAAGCCCCCAGCAGGGAAAGCUUAACCAACCACUUAAUCCCUGCUUGGUAUGGUGUGGAAAAGGGAAAUGUGAUCUCUGAACUGAAAACAGUGUCAAAGGCAGCUAUCACGGCUGAUGGGUGGACAAGCUUUUGUCAGGAUCAUUAUCUCACGGUUACUCUGCACUACGUGAGCAAUGGCCAGAGCUGCCCAAGCACAUGCUCCUCCUGGAUGUAAGGACCAGAUGGAAUUCCCUCUAUUUGAUGAUGGAGAGAUUCACCGAGCAGUUCCCUGCUAUCCAGGCUGCAGCCAUAGAUCCACGCAUAAGAAGGCCCAUGGAGAAGGAAAGGUUGGACAGAAUAGGCAACGAGGACUUAAGGAAAGCAGAGGAGUUUGUGCAUCUCAUGCGGAAGCAUUACACCUCCACACUGGC